UACGUAGGGGGCAAGCGUUGUCCGGAUUUACUGGGCGUAAAGAGCGCGCAGGCGGUCGUAUAAGUCGAAUGUGAAAGCCCCCGGCUCAACUGGGGAGGGUCAUUCGAUACUGUUCGACUCGAAGGCAGGAGAGGGAAGUGGAAUUCCGGGUGUAGUGGUGAAAUGCGUAGAUAUCCGGAGGAACACCAGUGGCGAAGGCGACUUUCUGGCCUGUUCUUGACGCUGAGGCGCGAAAGCUAGGGGAGCAAACAGG
rnacentral:rRNA from 1 species